rnacentral:rRNA from 1 species
UACGUAGGGUGCGAGCGCUGUCCGGAAUUACUGGGCGUAAAGAGCUCGUAGGUGGUUUGUCACGUCGUCUGUGAAAUUCCGGGGCUUAACCUCGGGCGUGCAGGCGAUACGGGCAAUACUUGAGUGCUGUAGGGGAGACUGGAAUUCCUGGUGUAGCGGUGAAAUGCGCAGAUAUCAGGAGGAACACCAAUGGCGAAGGCAGGUCUCUGGGCAGUUACUGACGCUGAGGAGCGAAAGCAUGGGUAGCGAACAGGAUUA